AGAUGUUUUCUGCUUUCCUAUGGGGGUAAGCUAGAAAAUCCCGUGUCAUCCUGAACAAGGUUCGCCCCCAAGGUACGGUCUGGCUCAGCACACUAGCUCCUGUCAAGAAGUCAAACAUUGCUCUGGAAAACAAAGUUGUCUUCAUGCGGACGAAGAUGCUAUUUAAUGCGAUGCUGUUUAACUGGGCACUGUGCAUGGAAACUGGAGUUCUGCUGUUAGCUCCGUUUCACAGGCAAGGAAUCUGUAUCUAAAUGAUACCUCAAAACUGUGGCAAAGCUGGGAAUAGAAUCCAAGUUUAAUUCCAUAGAUACUCAGCUUUCUGGGCUUUGAACAGAGCUGUCAUACUACAAGGAAGUACUUCAGCAUCCUUUUCAUUUGAAGAUGUUUCCAAACAUUUUUCCUUACCUUUUGCCUCUCAAAAGUGUUGUUUCACAUUCAUGUUCCAUUUGCAUCAAGUUUCUUUCCUUUUCUCAGCUGCAGUCAUUAACAGCUGGUUUCUCAUAGGAAGAUACAAGCUGUCACGAUCCCUUGCCAAUCACAUGAGAACUGACCUAGGGAGAACAUCAACCGAAGACAGGAAAUGAGCAUUCCUGCAUGAGUAGGAAGUGCAGGCAACUUGAACUCACAAGAAAGACGUCAUAAAGUGUACUACUCUCUAUAAAAAGGGGAAGACUUGUGGAAAAGACACCAUUUUUGUGGUUGGCUCAGUGAAAGCUAGAAAGCAAAUCUCUUCACACUCCUGGAGAGAGAAGGUUGUGUCCAGACUUGAAAACUAAGAGUUAGAAAGUCCCACAGCCUGUCUGAGCUUUACACUGGGAGGAAAAUGAGCUGCCUGAGCAGAGGAUGAAUGUUGUCUUGGGUCACCAUCAAGAUCUUGACCUGCCUAACUGAUGUGACUCAGGGAAAGAGGCUGCUGGCAUUUCUGGUGCUAUUCCCUUUUCCCAUUCUCAGCAUGCACGGAGCCAUUCCCAGCCAGUUGGAGCUCUUCCACAAGAUGGUGCUGAGCCCCAUCGCUCACAAGUGGUGCGUAAUUGAAACACAGCACACAUCCUCCCGGGGAAGGAAGAGGUAAGCCAAGAAAAUAGGCCAUGAUAGUCAGAUAUGUUUAAUAUACAAAUAAGAAGUUGUUUCAUAAAUAUCUUAUAAAAACUUCAAUUUACUUCCCAAUAUUUUAGCAGAUUAUCUCAACACAAACAGCAGAUGUAUUUUGGAGCGACGAGACAAAUGUUUAGUGAAAUUAAAGUUAUUCAUGUGCAGUCACACAGGGAAUAUUUGCAUGAUAUUUUACUAAUUGCUCCAAAAUCUGACUUGUAGCAAAUAAACAAACAGAGGGAAAAAAAUAAGCCAGUGGAAAGAUUAGCCCCAGGCUUCUCUGCUUCUAUUCUAUGUCCUCGCAGCCUUUCUUCAACUGCUCAACUUUCUUUCUCUGGAAGCACAGCAUUAUUUCCCAGGGCCCAAACACUCUUCUCAGGCUCUCCUGGUUUUCCCCUGCUAACUAUAUCUCUUCCCAACUGGUUCUAUUUUCAUCUUCCCUUUGAGCCCAAAUUUCCAGUCCAGUUUCUGAGUGAAAGGCAUCCACUGCUGGGCUGGCGUGAGGGAGAAUUUUCUUAAGUGUUGCAAGGAAAACAGUUUGCUAUUUCAGCUAACGCAUUCGUGUAGGAUUAGCAAUGCAGAAAAACCCAAUGCCAAAGCAGUGGAGCGCUUGUUGCAGCCAGGAGUUCAGACUGGAGUUCCUUCAACCUUCUGUGAAGAGUUUCAAGUUACAGCAGCAAAAAUCAAGUUGUCAUUGCUGAUUGUUAUGACAUUAUUUUAUGUCAGGUCUGUUUAUUUGCCCUCCUGGAAAAAGAGAAUGUAUUUCAAGACGUCAAAAUAUUUUGUUUGCCUUCAUUCAAUUGCAAGAGAAGCCUUAGGUGAGGUAGGAAAAUGUGCGUUUAUCACAUUUUGAUGUGGUGUAUACAACUAUGUAUUUGUAUAUGUUUCAUACUCCCAAACUGAAGGAGUGCUGAGAGUGCCAGACAACAAGGUCUGGAAAAUUAGCAAAGGUCAGGAUUAAAAUUGACACCUUAUGAAUUGUUAUGGACUGCAGGAGCACGUGGGCUGCUCACUGGGGGUGUCAAGCCCUCAGUUUCACAGAAGCACUGCUUUUUGCCCAAGGCAUGGAGUAUCUGGCAACAGUGGGUGCCUGUUGGCUUCUUCCUAUCAGUCACUGUAGGUGGAUAUGAAGGGUUUUUCUGCAUGACUUCUAGAGGCACAGCUCAAGAGUUGUUGUCCGUAGGGGAACAAGGGCUCCAAGUUGCCAUUCCUCACAAUUGGUGCAUCCUGGUUUGGCUGAGGAUCCCACGAGGUCCUGGUGAACAGCCUGACCUGUGCUGCACACCUCCUGGCUCAUUCCAUGUGGGUAUGCAGAAGCUGCCUUCUCACACCCUGCUCCUGCUGGUCAUCAAGUGCAGGUGGAUGGGGAGUGUUGAGCUUUAGACAUGGGUUAGUGACAAGGAGUCUGUAAAUCAUUGGAUCAGCCAUACAUCCAAAUGGUUCUUCAAGUACAGUAACUCCACAGGAUCAGUUCCCUUCUAACAUGAUCUUUUAUGUUUUUAACUUGCAGGAACACAAAAGGUGACUACUGCAUGUUCUGAACAAAUAGGUAAAACCAAAGGGGAAAACAGCUGUUGUUUUUAUGGUUCUUUUUUUCUAUAAAAAGGGGUUUUCCAUGUCUGACAGUUACAUGUUGAACUCUCUUUAUUUGGCCCCUCCCAUUUUCAGGUCACCACAGGAAUAUGUAAAAAGGAAAUGUUUUAUUUUAACAGAGUUGAACAAAGUACACGAAACACACCCUUCCCAUUGCCUAACAUUCCUCAAGUUAAAUUGCAGAGCCCAGCAUAACUUUUCCUCUUGGUCUUUUAUUUCAUUGAAAAGGGCCCAAAAUGUAAUAUUCAUGCAGGAAGCAUAAAUUGUAUUGCUGGAAGCAAUAGCAACCUCGAAGCAAAAUCCCUCAGGAUCGCUGUGCUCAGGAGUGUGCAGGCUGCUCCUGGCCCAACAAGUUUCCUCAGUGCCGUGCUUGUGGCUUUGCACAGCCUAAGCUAUAGGAUUUCUUUGCAGCAUGGUUUUCUUGACAUUUUGGCCCUUGUGGACAGUCCUUGGCCUCAGGAGUAGCUGCUAGCCUCUUGCCCAACCAUCCCACUCUGGGCCACUCUUCUUCCCUUUCAGUAUGCAUGAGUAACUCCCACGAAUGUAAAUAAAAGUUAUGUGCACGCAUCAAGGGGAAAUGGAUCCAUUUGUCAUGGCUCCAGACAAGCAGCAUCUCCCCAAGGAGCUACUUACGAGGCUAUUGAGAAGCUAGCAGCAACGCGUGAUAGGCUGCACCUUCUUCCAUGUGUGUUGCAGAAAUUAUUGGCAUGUUGCUGAUGUUUACGGCGAACAAAUAGUUUAUUUCUGGGCUAAGAAAGAUUUCAAUGUAAAUACUCAACUGGCAGCUAGCUGGAAGUUUGCCACUUGAAGUUAAAAGGCCCAUGACCAAUGGUGUCAGAUUAACAUUUCCAAGUUGGACAAUGUACAAAUGGUGUUCUUGGACUGGAAUAGAAAUAGAUGAAAGUGGUCUGCUGCAGUGCAAAUAACAAACUGGCAACCAGCUGGUCAUUGGAAAGAGAACAUACUAUGGGAAUAUGCUUUCUGCAGAAAUACUUUAUUUUGGAGAUAAGCAUUAACAAUAGGAAGAUGAGGCUCAUUUAACAAGAACCAUAUGGUCUCAUCCUGCUUUUAUUUCACUCAGUAGCAAAGCUCUGAUGAUCUUUUGUGUGUGCAAGAUAGGGGUUGCUGUUAAUAAAUAAGCAAAACAGAUUCAAGCUAGUCGUUUGGAAUUAAAAAGAAACAGUAAUGCUUGAUCUACUGUUGCCUUUUAAAAGGUAUGAAGGGGAUAGUUUUAAUCCACAAAAUGCUAUUUCAGGAGACCGUAACUGAAAGGAAGUGGAAUUAAAGGUGUUUGUUGGAAAACAACUUCUGAUAAAGUAAGACUAAGAUCCACUCAAGACUGAGUUAUGAACCAGUGUGAAACCAAUACAGAAAUUUCUCCAAGCUAAUUUGUGGCUGGGUUCAUUCCAUAAAAAAGUUUGUAUUUUUCAGGAGAGACGACAACACCCCUUUUUAAAGCAGUUUUAACUACACCAUUUAUUCUACUAGCAACUUAAUCAGAGUUAACAGCAUUUCACACUCUUGUUUCAGCGUAAUAGCAAAAGUGAAUGAUGCAAAAAGAAAAAGUCAUCUGUGGGAACUGCACUGGAAAAUCCUGCUUUGGGAACUUUUCAAGGAUGUAAAACAUUGUCUAGAGUUUUUUACUUUUAUGGGUAGGAAGUAAAAAAGAAGCAAAGAGAGGAAAUCUCAUUCUUACAACAAUUGGAAAGUUGAAGUAAAAAUGAUAAAACUCAUCACUGCAAAAUAAUUUUUAUUUCAUUUUAUUUUAUUUUUUACAGUGGCUAAACUUUGUUAUUUUGGUUGCAAGAAGACAGCAAGAUGGAAGCUUCAUUUAUUGUAAAAAAUAAAAUUAAGAUUUGAACAU
rnacentral:lncRNA from 7 species